rnacentral:lncRNA from 10 species
GUCUCGAGGAAGCAGCAGCUUGCUGACAUGAGUCAGCUGCAAAGGCUGAGGAGUGUGCCCUCAGAGAAGCAGCGCCCCCCAGUCCUGCCCCAGUGCCCAGAGCCGCAGCUCCUAGGGAUGCUCCUUCCCUGGAGGCGGCCCAGGAGAGGGACUCUGGCAGCGUUCUUCAGAUUUGUGACCACUGUUUCUCAUUUGCUGGUUGACUAUUUUUAUUUCUUAGGCUUUUGCUAGUUUUAGAAAAUAGGAAAGCAGCCCGUGAUUUGUGGAUUAAAAGCAACAUUUGAGCGAUGAUGCACAACAGUCCAGGAAAAUGGGCAGUGACACUUGAGGCUGAGGAUGGGAGUCGACAUGAGCAGGGAGAGGGAGCAGAGGCCUGAAGGUCCCUGCUAUGCAGCCGUGGCCACAGCUCACAGCACCAGUGCUGUGGAGCAUCCACACCUUUGAUGGCAAUGCAGAGUGAUAGCAGGUUCCAUAGGUGUGACAAAACAGCAUUAAAGCUCAGUAUUUUGCAUAUUUUUAGCAUUUAAAAAUAUUUUUGCUUUAGUGUGAGGAAAGUAAGGAUGGGCAAAGAGGCGAUCAAAAUAGCUAUUGCUAUGACAUUUUAGAAAACAAAGUUGGGGCCGUAUUUCUUUAAAAAGA